rnacentral:rRNA from 1 species
AUGGGGAGUCGAAGACAACAUAGUGUCAAGUACUUUGGUCCAAACUUGAGAAAGCCAUCCAUAAGCAAGGCACCAGGCAAACUCAAGAAAAAGUGCCUUGAACAAUUUAAGAGAACUCAGCAGUCGUUUAGGGUGGCGUAUGAUGAGCCUAGCCAUGCUAAGGCAGCGUCUCGUCCAAAUGUCUCGUCACGUUCUUCAUGGCCAAACAAAGGUACGGCUUCACCACGGGGAAAUGUCGAGAAGUCUGAGCCCUCUUUCUCUAAGACUCUCCAAAAGAAUACCCAAAAGGCUAGUCCAUCUCGCGCAGUGCCUAGCGCAAUGCCUAACAAUGGCAUUGAUUCUUUGCAAAAGAAUACUACCAAGUUUAGAUCCUCUCCCUUUAUGUCAAAUAGUGGUAAUAGCUCGAGGCCAAACAAUGGCAUGGGUUAUUUGGCGAAGAAUGUGGAGUCUUACUCAAGGUUAAAUGACGUUGAAGUUCCUCCGUCAAAGAAUACAAAGAUGUCAGGAUCCUUUUACUCAAUGCCCAAUGAUGAGAUCGCUCCUCAAUCAAUGAAAGCUAGGCCCUUAUCCUCUGGGUUGAAUUGUGUGUCCGCUUCUUUGGCAAGGAACAUAGAAAAGUCUAAGCUCUCUGCAGGUUCAAAUUCCACAUUUGGUGUUUCAAAGAAAUUGUAUCCCUCUUCAAUGGUUCAGAACUCACGAAAAGAAGACCAUCCGAUGGCGAUGGAAGGUACAAAUUCCAACUCAGCUUUGAAGGGUAAAAAAGUCAUGGAAGAUAUCUCGCCCAACUUGGAGAUCAAUUUACCUGGUAAGAAACUUUCAAAUCACCAAACGGUCGAGGCAUCAUGCAUGGUUGAUUCAAUCGACGGGUGCAUUCGACUUGAUAGUAGAAAGUGCAUGUCUAGCCUUUCGGAGCAUGGAAGAACCGAUGUGUACAAAUCUAAGAGUAAGAGGAUGGAGCCGUUGUUGGAAAAAAGGUUUGAGGCACGUGGGGUCGCUAGAUUGAAAAAAUCCAUUAAUAAACUUAACAGUGAGAACACUAGCCUCAGGGAGGAUGAAAGGACCGUUGAUGACAAGUUUAAUAAGAGGAAGAGGACUGAGAAUUGUAGUCAAACAAACAAAAAGAGUAGAUUUGUAGUAAUUGAUGAUGAAGACGAUGAUGAUGGUGAUCAGAAUCUCACUGGUAGUAAAAGUGGUGCCGCUGGAUUGAAAACACAGAAUUAUGGUUCCGAACCUUCGAAGCCACAUCACUAUUGUUCCCUGCCCAUCGAUGAACCUAUUUGGAGUGGAAGCAUUAAGAUAGGCAGCGGAAAAUUUGUUUCGUUGGCUGCACAUUUGUCAACCAAAUACUGUGAGAAGGUGUGGAAUUUGUCAAGAUCACUUGAGCCAGUGGUUGAAGUAACAAAGCUUUCUAGACUGGAGGCUUGGCCUAAGAGCUUUGAGGCAUCAAGGCCCACUGAUGACAACAUUGCGUUGUAUUUAUUGCCCACCGAGAUGAGGCAAGAUGCAGACCUGGAUCAACUUGUUAAAGAAGUCGUGGAGAAUGAUAUGAUCCUACGAGCUAUUGUUGGUGAAGCUGAGAUGCUGAUAUUGCCAUCUAUUCUACUGCCUGAGCAACACCAAACUUUCCAAGGAAAACCCUACCUGUGGGCGGUAUUUAAACGCAGAAUAGUGGAAGAGGAACAACAUGGCAAAGGACGCUGUGCACAGGAGAAAGGAAAACAACAGGCUUCACAUUUCAGUGUGGGAGAAGGGUUAAACAUGGAAGCUGGACUUGAAGCUUCUGAGGAACCGGAGAUGCAAGGCAUGGAGCAGGAACAAAAUCCCAAGUUGGCUGGACCCAACGCGCCGAGUCCUACAACUGAAGCUCCUACCGCGGCUGCAGCUACAAUGUCUGCCAACCACUGUCAAGACCACCCAAACAUGGCUGCUCCUACAGGAGCAUUGUUUGGCUUUGUGGUUCAGCGAACUCCGCGACUCGAGCAACUCAUCCAAGAGAUGCAGCGCGAAGGUGCUGUGAUGGUUGCAAUGCAAGGGCAGAUGAUAGGGCCAGGUCUUGGCAUGGGCAGGCAGUAG